rnacentral:rRNA from 1 species
GCUGGCGGCAGGCCUAACACAUGCAAGUCGGGCGGUAACAGGAAUAGCUUGCUAUUUGCUGACGAGCGGCGGACGGGUGAGUAAUGCAUAGGAAUCUGCCUGGUAGUGGGGGAUAGCCCAGAGAAAUUUGGAUUAAUACCGCAUACGCCCUACGGGGGAAAGCAGGGGAUCUUCGGACCUUGCGCUAUCAGAUGAGCCUAUGUCGGAUUAGCUUGUUGGUGAGGUAACGGCUCACCAAGGCGACGAUCCGUAGCUGGUCUGAGAGGAUGAUCAGCCACACUGGGACUGAGACACGGCCCAGACUCCUACGGGAGGCAGCAGUGGGGAAUAUUGGACAAUGGGCGCAAGCCUGAUCCAGCCAUGCCGCGUGUGUGAAGAAGGCCUUCGGGUUGUAAAGCACUUUCAGCGAGGAGGAAAGGGGCGUUGCUAAUAUCAGCGCCCUGUGACGUUACUCGCAGAAGAAGCACCCGGCUAACUCCGUGCCAGCAGCCGCGGUAAU